UGUGCUAAAUAUGUACCAGGCAAAACAAAAAGCAAACGACAAGGGGACUACAAGUAGCUUGUGACGUAUUUUAUUGUUUGGAAGUAGCUCUCAUCCUAAAAAAAGUUGGAGACCCCUGUUCUAUGUACUACAGUCGUUUUCAUUUUACAACCUACAUAACAAGUCCAUGUGACCUUGUAAAAUACUAAAGCUAUACUUUGAGUACUUUUAAACUGGAUGAUGAAGUGAAUUUUCGAAGUUUGGCCUUUUAAGCUAAAUUUGAACAUUUUUUGCAAUCCCUUUAAAGUCUCACUAAAUUUCCCAUUGGAUUGGGUUGAAAUUUGUGUUUAACAUCCAUGAAACCUUGAGGAUAAUUUGCAACUAAACAGAUGUUUUACAGGAAACUACCGUAUUUUCUGCACCAUAAGGCGCAUCGGAUUGUAAGGCGCAGUCUCGAUUACGGGGUUUAUUUCUGUACUUAAGCCAUAUAUGGGCGCAUGCUAAAACAAGGAAACGAAAGCAAAACAGUGAGUUUGGUUGAACUUUAUUCUACUGCGUAUUUAAAAAUACACUCACAUUAUUUUUUGAUCAAUCUUUUGUCACAAAUCCAUCAAAGUCCUCAUCUUCUGUAUCUGAAUUGAACAGCUGGGCAAUUUCGACAUCAAACAUGCCGGGUUCCCUCUCGUCAUUGUCGGAGUCAGUCUCGUUGGCGGGUGGCUGUUCAGCAAUGAUGCCGGCUUUCGCGAAAGUUCGGACAACAGUCAGUACUGUACGUAGCUUUAUGUAAUGUUCUCUAAUAGGUUUAUCACUGCCAGCAUGUGUAGUAAUAAUAAUAAUAAUCGAUUAGAUUUAUAUAGCACUUUUCAAGGCACUCAAAGCGCUUCACAAUGGAUCCAUUAUUCAUUCACUCACACAUUCUCACUCUGGUGGUGGUAAGCUACAUUUGUACCCACAGCUGCCCCUCCGACCACCACCAAUGUAUAACUUUCCUGACUUUUCCUUUAGAAAGGGCUGGAGGACGUAGUGGUUUUUCACAAUAGUCUUACCGACGUAAGUUACGUUACCAACGCUGUGGGUUAUACGGUCAGCGGGCGUAACACAUGAGAGAGAAUGGCGUAAAGUGGGAUGCUUACGGUAAAAAUUUAUCAGGACUGGUAUGUUUGUCAGUUUAACGACCUAACGAUCUGUCUGUUAAAACGUGGUGGGAAAAGGUUCGCGUCGGGAUGACGGCAGUAACCGGAAUAACAGGCACUGUAUGUUGUACUGCGUGAACCUCAAUAAAGACGUGUUGAGUUGAAUCCGCCGUACUAGUCUUGAAACCCUUCCAGAGGGGGAUCACGUAGCUGCAGAGGACGGCUCCGUGAGUGUCUGGACAACCAACAUUCACAUGCAUUCAUACAACAGUGUGAGAGCAGCACUGGAGGCAAGGCAGGUAAAGUGUCUUGCCCAAGGAUACAACAGCACAUGACUAGGCGAGAGCGGGAAUCGAACUGCUGACCCUUUGAUCAUUGGACGACCCGCUCUACCACCUGAGACACAGUACUGUACGUAUUACGUCCCUAUGUCGGCGGGAAUUGGUCCGACAGUCAGAUUUUGGAACUCAGUGCACACAUAAGACAUAACGGGUUAAAAGGCGCACCAUCGUUUUUUGAGAAAAUUAAAGACUUUUAAGUGCACCUUAUAGUGCGGAAAAUACGGUAAUUAUAAACAUUAAUUUUCUCCACAAUUAAAAAAAAAUUAAAGUCUCCACUAGUUGUCACAGUAAAGCUUCAGAGCUGGAAAACACACUUUAAAGUAUGCUGAAUUUAUGUUUUCCCAAGAAGGAUUACUUUAAAAUCUUUUAAAAGCGUUAUUUUUGGAAAAUAAGGGCUUUUUGUUAGGAAUCACGGAGAGAACCCGGGCAGAGAGCACACAGCAGAGGCAGGGACUGGAACCAAAACAGGUUUUAGUGUGUAGGGAAGAACCAAAACUAGGAGUGAGGGAGGUGAGCGGAUUAGGGGAGCACCAGGGAUGGGUGCAGAACUGAAACAGGGAAGGAGCGGGGGUGCCAGGGACCAGCGGCUGGGUAGACUUCUGGGAGCGAGGGAGCUGACGGCGGAGAGCGGACAGGAGGCUUGGGUUCCAGGGGGGCGAUGUCAGGGCUCCUCCCUCUCCUGCUUGGCUCUCUGCCUAAUUAGAAACAGCUGCGAGGGAGCGCGGCUGGUUGUGAUUAACAAUCUGUGCAGCAUAAAAGCCUGGUUCUCCCCACAGCUCAAUGCUGGACCAUUGACUGAGAUUCCCCGUUUGGAUUACUCGCUGUCUGGAUUUGCCAACACCUGGAUAUUCUCGCCUGUUCCGUCUUCCAACUCCCCCCGGACAUUUUUGCAUGCCAAGCCGUCAGGUGCUGCUUUCAGAAAGCGCAAAAAAGAAGAGGAGGAAAACGGGCCCAAAGUAGAGAUGCACUGAGAAAAUAUUUGCAGCCACGACAGGCACCUGUAGAUGCUGCUACAGAGGAAGCCUCAGUCUCUCUGUCUUCUGCACCUGAGCAGCUGCUCGUCAAGCAGCAGUACAGCAGCAAGUGAGACACAGCUUCAAAAUGUAGAUCCAGCAGCUUCAAGUCAAACAGAAAGCAGCAACACAGCAGCAACUGAGACACAGCUUCAAGAUGUAAAUCCAGA